GUGGUCACUUCAGCAGCACAUAUACUAAAAGUUGGAAUGAUACAGAGAAGAUUAGCCUGGCCCUUGGGCAAGGAUGACAUGCAAAUUCAUGAAGCAUUCCAUAUUUUU